GAGUGGCGAACGGGUGAGUAAUGUAUCGGAACGUGCCUAUCUACGGGGGAUAGCUACACGAAAGCGUAACUCAUACCGCAAACGCCCUACGGGGGAAAGCAUGGGAUCGGGAGACCUUGCACUCUUGCAGCGGCCGAUGUCGGAAUAGCUAGAUUAGUGGGGUAGCGGCUCACCAGCGCCACGAUGCGUAUCUGGUUUGAGAGGACGACCAGCCACACUGGCACUGAGACACGGCCCCGACUCCUACAGGAGGCAGCAGUGGGGAAGUUUGGACAUAUGGGAGAAAGCCUGAUCCAGCCAUCCCGCGUGUGCGAGGAAGGCCUUCGGGUUGUAGAGCUCUUUUGGCAUGAUAGAGACGUUCCGGGUUAAUACCCCGGGAAACUGACGGUACCUGCACACUAAGCACCGGCUAACUACGUGCCAGCGUCCGCGGUAAUACGUAUGGUGCAAGCGUUAAUCGGAUUACUGGGCGUAGGCGUGCGCACGCGGUUCGGAAAGAAAGAUGUGAAAUCCCAGAGCUUAACUUUGGAACUGCAUUUUUAACUACCGAGCUGGAGUGUGUCAGAGGGAGGUGGAAUUCCGCGUGUAGCAGUGAAAUGCGUAGAUGUGCGGAGGAACACCGAUAGCUAAGGCGGCCUCCUGGGAAACACUGACACUCAGCACGAAGCGUGAGGAGCAACAGGAUUAGAUACCCUGGUACCCACGCCCUAACGAUUUCACUAGCUUUUGGGCCUUCGGGCCUUGUAGCGCACUUAGCGUGAAUUGACGCCUGGGGAGUACGGUCGCAAGAUUAAACUCACAGAAUUGACGGGACCGCACAGCGCUGGAGAUGUGGAUUAUUCGAUGCACGCGAAAACCUUACUACCCUGACUGUCUGGAUGCCAAAAAUUUGCAGUGUCGCAGAGACCGGA
rnacentral:rRNA from 1 species